GUAGGUGAACCUGCGGAAGGAUCAUUAUCGAGCUAGGGUCCUCUGGGCCCCAUCUCCAACCCUUGUCUAUUAUGUUGCCCCGGCGAUUCUGCCGGGGUGACUUUGAAAAUUUCUUUUUUAAAUUCUUCAACCAUGUCGUCCUACGGGAGAUUAAACAAUUAAAUUAAAACUUUCAACAACGGAUCUCUUGGUUCUGGCAUCGAUGAAGAACGCAGCAUCUGACUGACUUCAGUACGAGGCAUCUCGUAUG
rnacentral:misc_RNA from 1 species